UUUUUGUAGGACUGGGAAACAGAAAAUCAUGACUGGUAUUGUUUUGAAUGCCAUUUGCCUGGAGAGGUGUUGAUAUGUGACCUGUGUUUUCGUGUGUAUCAUUCCAAGUGUUUGUCUGAUGAGUUCAGGCUUAGAGACAGCAGUAGUCCCUGGCAGUGCCCAGUUUGCAGGAGCAUUAAGAAGAAGAAUACAAACAAACAGGAGAUGGGCACAUACCUCAGAUUCAUUGUCUCCCGCAUGAAGGAGAGGGUGAGUCCUGCUCAGGGAAUCUUUCAAAAUAUCCCAAAACACAUUUUACUAUGGUUCAUUCUUUCAAAGUUGAAUGAUCGAGAAGUAACAAAUAUGUACAUAGCAAUAUGAAGUGUGGAGAGCACCCCGUCAUGUCAUAUUUCUUUUUUGCAGUAAACAGUUCUAUAACAGGCAGUUAGAUUUUCUUGUUUUGUCUGUUUUGGACAUAGACAUUUUGACAUAAGCUACAUGAGAUUAGAAACAUUUACAUUUUUGAAUUUCAUUCAUCAGAAUGAACAUUUUCAUUGAUGAUGACUCUUUAAAAUGAAAGGCAAUUUUUCAAAAUAACUAUUCUAUCACAACUUUAAGGAAUGUCAUAUUAAACUAUAUAGUAGUAUAUGUACAUUUUUUCUGUUAAGUUUUAAAGUACUUCCUCUGAGAUUUUGCUUUAAAGGUAGAAAAUAUUGGCCGGGCGCCGUGGCUCCCGCCUGUAAUCCCAGCACUUUGGGAGGCCAAGGCAGGAGGAUUGCUUGAGCCCAGGAGUUCAAGACCAGCCUGGGCAAGAUGGCAAGACCCUGUCUCUAC
rnacentral:lncRNA from 1 species